rnacentral:rRNA from 1 species
AGUGGAUGGGGAGCAACCUAGUUGUGCGUGUGUAAAGGUAGUGCCAAGAAAAGCGGUGAUCAUGAUGAAAAUCAAUUCCCGGUACCCGAAACCGACACAGGUGGGCAAGUAGAGAAUACUAAGGGGCGCGAGGUAACUCUCUCCAAGGAACUCGGCAAAAUGACCCCGUAACUUAGGGAGAAGGGGUGCCACCGAGAGGUGGUCGCAGUGAAGAGGCCCAGGCGACUGUUUAGCAAAAACAUAGGUCUCUGCAAACUCGAAAGAGGAGGUAUAGGGGCUGACGCCUGCCCAGUGCCGGAAGGUUAAAGAAGUUGGUCAGUCUUAGGAUAAAGCUAGCGACUGAAGCCCCGGUGAACGGCGGCCGUAACUAUAACGGUCCUAAGGUAGCGAAAUUCCUUGUCGGGUAAGUUCCGACCCGCACGAAAGGCGUAACGAUCUGGGCGCUGUCUCGGAGAGAGGCUCGGCGAAAUAGGAUUGUCUGUGAAGAUACGGACUACCUGCAUUUGGACAGAAAGACCCUAUGAAGCUUUACUGUAGCUUGGAAUUGGGUUCGGGCUUCCCUUGCGCAGCAUAGGUGGGAGGCGUAGAAGGUAUUCUUGUGGGGAUACUGGAGCCAACGGUGAGAUACCACUCUAGGGAGGCUAGAAUUCUAACUUAAUUAAGGACAGUUUCAGGUGGGUAGUUUGACUGGGGCGGUCGCCUCCAAAAAGGUAGGGAGGCGUACAAAGGUUCCCUCAGACUGGUUGGAAAUCAGUCGCAGAGUGCAAAGGCAGAAGGGAGCUUGACUGCGAGAAGUACAGUUCGAGCAGGGUGGAAACACGGUCUUAGUGAUCCGACGGUGCUGUGUGGAAGGGCCGUCGCUCAACGGAUAAAAGUUACUCUAGGAUAACAGGCUGAUCUCCCCCAAGAGUUCACAUCGACGGGGAGGUUUGGCACCUCGAUGUCGGCUCAUCGCAACCUGGGGCGGAAGUACGUCCCAAGGGUUGGGCUGUUCGCCCAUUAAAGCGGUACGUGAGCUGGGUUCAGAACGUCGUGAGACAGUUCGGUCCAUAUCCGAUGUAGGCGUGAGAAUAUUGAGAGGAGCCUUCCUUAGUACGAGAGGACCGGGAAGGACGCACCGCUGGUGUACCUGUUAUGAUGCCAAUUGUAAACGCAGGGUAGCCAAGUGCGGAGAGGAUAACCGCUGAAAGCAUCUAAGUGGGAACCCCACCUCAAGAUGAGUAUUCUGGUGUAAGGUCACGGGAAGACGACCCGUAAAUAGGCACGAGGUGGAAGUGCAGAGAUGUAUGAAGCCGAAGUGUACUAAUAGACCGUCGGCUUGAC